rnacentral:rRNA from 1 species
GACGAACGCUGGCGGCGUGCUUAACACAUGCAAGUCGAACGGAAAGGCCCUGCUUUUGUGGGGUGCUCGAGUGGCGAACGGGUGAGUAACACGUGAGUAACCUGCCCUUGACUUUGGGAUAACUUCAGGAAACUGGGGCUAAUACCGGAUAGGAGCUCCUGCUGCAUGGUGGGGGGUGGAAAGGUUCGGCGGUUGGGGAUGGACUCGCGGCUUAUCAGCUUGUUGGUGGGGUAGUGGCUUACCAAGGCUUUGACGGGUAGCCGGCCUGAGAGGGUGACCGGCCACAUUGGGACUGCGAUACGGCGCAGACUCCUACGGGAGGCAGCAGUGGGGAAUAUUGCACAAUGGGGGGAAGCCUGAUGCAGCAACGCCGCGUGCGGGAUGACGGCCUUCGGGUUGUAAACCGCUUUCGCCUGUGACGAAGCGUGAGAGACGGUAAUGGGUAACGAAGCACCGGCUAAGUACGUG